GUAGGGUGCGAGCGUUAAUCGGAAUUACUGGGCGUAAAGUGUGCGCAGGCGGCGUCGCAAGUCGAGUGUGAAAGCCCCGGGCUUAACUUGGGAAUUGCGCUCGAAACUACGAUGCUGGAGUGUGGCAGAGGAAGGUGGAAUUCCACGUGUAGCGGUGAAAUGCGUAGAGAUGUGGAGGAACACCAAUGGCGAAGGCAGCCUUCUGGGCCAACACUGACGCUCAUGCACGAAAGCGUGGGGAGCAAACAGGAUUAGAUACCCUGGUAGUCCACGCCCUAAACGAUGAUGACUAGUUGUUGGGGGAGUUAAAUCCCUUAGUAACGCAGCUAACGCGCGAAGUCAUCCGCCUGGGGAGUACGGUCGCAAGAUUA
rnacentral:rRNA from 1 species